AGGUUGUUUCAAGAUUGGAGGCCUCUAAGCGAGGCAAGAAUGAUAUUCCUGCAUCAGCCUCUAUAACUCUGACUGUGCUGUCUGCUGCCCCAGAAGGCACUGGUUCCAGUGUUCUACUUAAGCUGGCUUGUGAUAGGUAUUUGUUUAAUGCCCCAGAAUCUGUGCAGUUAUUCACAGAGAGUGUCAACAUCAAUAUGGUCAACAAUAUCUUCUUCACAAGAAAA